rnacentral:lncRNA from 1 species
AAGACUUUUGUGACACCUUGGAUAUAUCCACACAUAAUGGAUCUAAACAUGUACUAUGCUGCAAUGAAAGGGAUUAUGGAAAAUGGUGAUUUUUCACUUGUUGAUCAUCUGAAAAGGGAGGAAUUAGAAAAUGGUUACCAAGUCACUUCAAAGGGAAACACAAUCCUCCAUGUGGCAGCUCUCUUUGGCCAACGAGGUUUCGUGGGAGAAGUCCUUAAGAUUACCCCGGCAUUAUUAUGCUAUAAGAAUAAGAAAAAUGAAACUGCGCUUCACAUUGCAGCUAAUGUAGGACAAAGUGGAGUGGUAAGUGAACUACUUUGCUUUGAAGGAGUGGAGACACUCGUGAGGAUGACGGAUGACAUUGGAAAUACGGCCUUGCACAAGGCCGUGAGAGGUGGACACACUGACAUUGUCUGGAUGUUGGUGAAAUUAUUACUAGAUCCUGAACACGACUUCCCAGCCAAUAAGGCUGGGGAGACACCGCUUUAUUUGGCAGCGGAGUUUGGUUUUCAUGAUGCUUUGAUUAAAAUCUUGAACGUUUGCAAAGAACCAACUUAUGUUGCAGGUCCAUCCAAUCGAACACCUCUACAUGCAGCCGUAAUUCAAGAACACACGGGUAAGUACCUUCUGGAUGAUUUCAUCAUAUAUAAUAUGGAAAAUGAUUAAAUUUGUCCCUCUACUAAUAGAAAGAAGCUAUAUUUGUCUUUGGUUAAAAAAAAUUCAAUAAAUAUACUCCUACAGGCAUACUUUAUGAUCUUGUUAAACGAAAAAAUCAUUCAUUUAUCAUCAUAUAUCAUAUAUAAUAUUUGACUAAUAUAUCUAGAAUGCGCGAGAUCACUAUGGCAAUGGAAUAAACCUUUAUGCGAAGAAGCUGAUAAAUGGGGUUGGAAUUCACUGCACUAUGCUGUUAAACAAGGAUUGAAAGAAAUAAUUUCCGAUAUGUUGGGAUGGAAGAAAUCUUUAUCCUACCUUCCGGCUGGCAGUGAAAAUGAUUGGACGACAGCAUUUCACAUUGCAGCUAGUGAAGGUGAUGUAUUGAUGAUAUAUGAUUUAUUAAACCACUGCCCAGAUUGUUGGGAAAUGCUUAAUUGCAAUGGCCAAAAUGCACUUCAUGUUGCCUUAUUGAACGAUCACGAAAUGUUUGUCCAUGCCUUCCUUGGGUCUGGAAUUUGUGAUAGCCUUGUUGAUGAGGCAGAUAAUGAGGGCAAUACUCCACUCCAUUUGCUUGCUGCCUCUGGGAACCGUGUGCCUCAAAUGAUAUUAGACCAUCCUAGCGCAAAGAAGAUGACAUUUAACAACAAAAUACAGACUCCACUUGACAUAGCAUUGUCUCGUACAUGGACAAUAAAGAAGGUACUCCCUCUUGUCCAUGACGGACUGGAUCGGUUUUCCCCAUUUCUUUGAACUUACUCAGUCCGUUGGUUUCCUUUUUUUUUGUUAAUCAACAAUGUAAAUAAGAUUAGCAAAAAUUAUAGAAUUAGAGGGGGACAUGGCAACCUAACCUCUAGACACAAAAAGAGAGCAUAGAGAGGAGUUAAUGCUCCAAAGAGAUCUUGUCUAAGACUAAGUUCUGGCACAUUGAAUUGCUAUAGAAGUAAUCAGUAGCUUUAGCCUAAACAUACUGGCAUCUACAACAGUAAGAGAAUCAUGGGGGCUCGUAGCGCUAAGAAGAGUGUUUUUUUGCUUGUUUUCGAGAGGACGGGAGCUGGAUCUUAUCAAUUCAAAUGGGGACAAUAGCCUCCUUAGCAAGGUCUUCUUUAUGUAGGAAAAUUUUAUCGGGUGGUGGCAUGCUUCGCAAGAGCAUCUGCGACUCAGCAUGCUUUGUCACGAUUCCUUUAUUUCUGUUAUUGAACUGCUUUGAUCUGUUUUUCAUCGAGCCAAGGGUCUACCGGAAACAACUUCUCUACCUCCGGGGUAGGGAUUAUAAGGUCUGCAUACACCGACCUCCGGAGUAGGGAUUACACUGAAUAUAUUCUUGUUGUUGGUAAAGAUAAAAACUAGAGUAACAAUGAAUUAAAUAAGAAAAAAAAAAAAUUUCCUUCUUUGAUAGUAGAAAAAAAAGUUCAAGUGUUUAAAUAAGAAAACACUUUUAUUUUUUCUAAGAAGGACCUCCUCACACUGUCGUCGCUUACUCAACUCUCGGGCUCUGGCAACAAUGGCAUCCCUGCAUCAUCUCAUGAUAUAGUAAUAUACUAAACAACUUUUGUUGGUUCGUUUUCUUUUCUUACAUUUGCCUCUUCUGUGAAUGACAAAACUCUUUCUAUUAAUUUUAUUUUUUAAUUGGAUGCGUAAAAAACUUGUGAAAAGAUAUGAGUUCCCACACAUGAUAAACCAUCUCUUGAAGGCAAAAUUGGUCGAUUUUCCCCUUGUUUGUGAGAUAUACAUGAGACCUAAUUCAAAUUCAGAUACACUAUAAAUGCGUACCAUAUCCUUGUAAACUUUUUAAUUGUCGUAAUUCCCAAUUAAUUUUUCUUUGCGCGUUUUUAUUCCAGGUCUAUAUAAGCACACCUCUAGUGAAUAAGAUACAUAUAAAAAAUUCUCCUUUUUAUGCAUAUUCCCUAAUUUUCAUUAACAGGCGUAGGGAGAAAUUAGUUAAAACGAUUACAUCAUAGUCAGAUCAAAAUUACGACAACACUGUGUUCAAUAUCAAUAUUGUUGAAUUUUUCUAAUAUAAUAGUUCAAAUCAAUCUAUAAAAGUUUGAGAUCACCAAGUAGUCAAAAUUUACUCUUUUUUAUGUUGUUGACGGAUGUCGCAUUAAAUUUUAUAGUUUAAAUUCAGUUAAAUAGAGAUAAAAAUAGUAAAAGUAAUACUAAAAUAAUAGUACUAAAUUAUGUUGGAACUGCUAUGAUUUGAAGAUCAAUUUAAGAUUCAAAAGUUUAUGAGCUUUACAUAAAUUUCAAGUUAGUAUCACAAUAAUAAUUGAUUUCUUAAUUAAAUAUUUAUAAAUAUUUAAUUUAUAUAUUUGGACAAAAAAUAUUAAAUUUAUAUGAAAUCGUAACUAAGCUUCCAUAUCCUCCCCAAAUUACUAUAUAACUUAUUUCAUCUAGGAGAUGAAAUUAAAUAAUACCAAGUUGGAUGAUUAAGAUGGAAUAUUUAGGAUCAAAGUUGAGAUUAAAUGUAUACCUUCAAUCAAAAAAUAUAAUUUUAAUCAUGAGAUAUCUUAAGAUAAUUAGAUCCAAAGUAUAUUGAAUUAUUGAUGAGUGUAGUUCAUUUUUAUUAAUAUUUUUUACUUAUAUAUAUAGAGACAAUAUAACUUUUUGUUGUCAUCAUUAGAUAUUAUAACUUGUAGCAGGAUACUUUUUUUUAAGAAGUAAUAUCAAACUUUUUUGGAAGGAGUGGAGAGGGGGCGAGGUCUGAAUUUUUUUAAAGUAUUUAUAAAUAAAAUUGAAAAAAUCGAAGGACGGGUGAUUAUCGGGGGAGGGGGUGGGUAGGAGAUGGUGGAGUGGAUUGAUAAUAUUUAUNNNNNNNNNNNNNNNNNNNNNNNNNNNUAUAUAUAUAUAUAUAUAUAUAUAUAUAUAUAUAUUUGGAAUAGUUAUACUAUAUAAUUUAGUUUUUAACUAAUAUUGAUAGUUUAUUUAUUUUUUAUCAAAGUGAAAUGCUAUGUCUAUGUGGUAAAAUUUUGCAAACGGAAAAGGGUCAAAAAUAUCCUUAAACUAUCUGAAAUAGCUCAUAUUUACCCUUAAACUAUAUUUCGGCUCAAAACUACCCUUCCCGUGAAACUAUUGGGUCAAAAGUACCCUUCUUAUUAACGGAAGUUGUUAAAUGCCAUGUGAAUGCCACAUUGCAUGCCAAUACUAAUUACUUUUUUUUUCCACGGCCACAUAGACUAAAUCCCUAAAUCCUAAUUACUCUUUUUUUUUUCCCUCAUUUCAUUAUUUUCCAGAAACAAUUUCAUCCAUUCUCCCUCAUAUUCUCCCCAAAUUACUAUAUAAUUUAUUUCAUCUAGGAGAUGAAAUUAAAUAAUACCAAGUUGGAUGACUAAGAUGGAAUAUUUAGGAUCAAAAUUGAGAUUAAAUUUAUACCUUCAACCAAAAAAUAUAAUUUAAAUUAUGAGACAUCUUAACAAAUGAUCUUUAAAAGUACCAAAACGUCAGAUAAUUAGAUUCAAAGUAUAUUGAAUUAUUGAUGAGUAUAGUUCAUUUUUAUUAUAUUUUUUACUUAUAUAUAUAGACAAUAUAACUUUUUGUUGUCAUCAUUGGAUAUUAUAACUUGUAGCAGUAUACUUUUUAUUUUUUUUGGUUUUGCUAUUUUUAUUACUAAUGAACUUAAAACUUAACUUGUAGCAGGAUUACUUUUUAUUUUUUUGGGUUUUGCUAUUUUUAUUACUAAUGAACUUAAAACUUAACUUGUAGCAGGAUACUUUUUAUUUUUUUGGGUUUUGCUAUUUUUAUUACUAAUGAACUUAAAACUUAACUUGUAGCAGGAUUACUUUUUAUUUUUUUGGGUUUUGCUAUUUUUAUUACUAAUGAACUUAAAACUUACAUCGGUAAGUUGUAUCUCAAUCUGCACAGCUCCUGGUACAUCGGAAGAAGCCAGAAACAGAGGAUGAUCAUGAUCGAUCUUUUUCGACAUUGAUCAGGAAUUUUAAGCUACAAAAACAGAAAUUAGAAUGACAAUUCUCAACCCGUAAGCUCUGAUACCAUGUUACAAACUGAAUUCUAAUCACUCAAUCAUAAUUGAAUCACAGUAGAAGAAUAGAUCUCAAUUUCAUAUCAACGCCUCAAAGAUUUACAUAGUUUUACACUGUAUAUUUUCUAACUAACUCCAGAUGGAUCAUAUUAUAUAUAUACAUGUACUAAUUGACUUAUUUACAGUAAAGUCAUCUUCUAGAAUAUUCUUAACAGCCUAACUAACUUUCACGUCAAGUUAACUGACUAAUAAUAGACUAAUAACAAUCUUCAGUCAGCUGUUUGCAAUCUCUUUGUUAUAAUCUCUAAUAUAUUUCAACAAAACCCAAUGUUUGAUUUCUUUAGGACUCAAUAAAGGUAGCCAUGUGUUUGUCCAAAAAAGUGUACCAUGAGUCUACUUACUUACACUUUGUUUGGAUGAUUGUAACAUAUUGUUUCAUAAUAUAUCAUACUGUAUUGUUGUAAUUAAUACAUUGUUCCCUUUCACCCUCCUCUGCAUCAUCUCAUGGUUGUCUCUCUUGUUUUACUUAAACUGAUCUACCAUUCUUGCUGUGUCUAAGUAGAGCAUGAUGUUCAUAACUUAAACUCCUUUAAUGCAAAUUUUCAAUCACAAGCGUAGGGAGCAAUUAGUUAAAUCGAUUAAAAUUACUUUCAAUAAACUGACUUGCCACAGCAUUGCAUUCAGUAUCAAUAUUGAUUAUAGUCGGAAAAUACCCUACUUCAUUUUUAUCACAAGGACAAGUAAAUUUUGGAGAGUGAGUUAUCUAUAAUGACGAAUCGUUGACCGAUUUUUUGAGGGUUCCAAAUGACUAUAUAGAUCAAAUCAAGUUAACAAUACUUGAAAUCUAUGUUAGAAAGGAGCCUAAGACUAGUCAACAAUGUUCUCUUUUAUCGGUCGAUGUCCAUCCAUAAUUAGAAAAUCGUAAUAGCGUUGAUGGAUUUUCAAUAACUCAAUCUACCAAUUUUUCUAAUAUCUAAUUUAUGCAAUUUGUAGGGUCGGAUUGUUGUGUUGUUCGGUUGUGCUACUCCAAUCUUUCAAGAUUUUGAUUUUUUAGUGUGGGGUCGCUUUAGUUGUCGGAUUGGGACCAUCAAAUUAACAUCUUCGAAGUGAAAAAACGUUUGGAAGAUGAAAGUGAACCAUGAAAGUGAAAGGGGAGACAAAGAAAGUGAAAAGGUAAAGUAACUUUUCUUAAAGUGUAAAAUUUUCUUCCACUUUAUAAAGUGUAAGAAAAACUUCCACUUUACAAAGUGUAAUAAAUAAUUUCGUUUUACAAGGUGUAAAAAAUAGUUCCGUUAUAUAUUAAAAUAUACACGUUAUGAGACUAACGGAAAACAUUUGGAAUAUUGCAUAAAACGGAUUUUUUUCUUCCACUAACCCUAUUUUAGUUAGUUACUAGAAUAAUGACUUAUUUUGGUCACUUUUAUCUUUUUGUUGCUUAUUUAGGUUCCAAACUCCAAAUCUUGUCCUGCAUUUUCCAACAAGCUAUUUUCAUGUCUCGAACCAAUAUAUAAAAUAAAUCCAAUUGAAGAAACAAUGAAAUAUACAAAAAGAGUUCACUGCUUGAAUAGUUAACAAAGUUAUUUAAAAUAAAUGAACAAAGUCUUUUUCCCUCCUUUUUUUUUGGUAGGGCCGCACCAAUGCAGUAUGAUAUAAGUUCAACCAUUUGGGUCGGGUUUCGGCGGGCACCCCUCCAAAUUGCAAUGGUAGUUACCAACGUAAACCAUGACCCUUAUUGAACCCCCAUUGACUUAGUUCAGUAAAUGCAAUAGAAGUCACCAACCUAGGAUAUUUUUUAAUAAUAUAAUAUAUCACUUAUCUUUUAUUCAUUUUUUUAAAAAGGGCAUUAAAGGAGGAAAUUGAUAUGUUCAGCCACUUUACCUUAUUUUUUAAGCCAAAAAUAAAAAAUAUUAAACUCAAUUCAUUUCAACCAAAAAUCACCUGCCCCGCUCACUACUUGUUCUCUUCUUAAUUAUUUCCAACAUGAUUUUUUGAUACUAUAUUUGAUUUACAUGUUUGAUUUUUUAUAUGCUUUACUUGAGCCAAAGUCCGAGGGUCUAUAAAAACAUCCUCUCUUCAUUCAUAAAAUAGGAGUAAGACUACGUAUGCACCAUAUCAAACUCCACUUGUAAAGGGAGUAGUAUACAUUGGUAUUGUAUUCCCAAUCUCUGAUGAACCAGAGCAAACCAAGAAGAAACUCUUAAAAGCUCUUGCCUUUUGGGCUCAUUGACCCAAUAAACAUACUUUGUAGUCAUGCCCAAGUAGCCACCAAAUACUUGGCCCAAAUAUAUAUAUUAAAUUAUGGUAGAUUAUAUGAUUUAGUAUAAAUAUAUUGAGAGCAAAAUAAGUACAACUUUUUUGUAUGUUCAAGAUUAUUUAGUGAAUUUGUGUUGAACUUGAAAAAAUCUAGAAUGGUAGUUAUUCUCCAAAAUAUGAUUGUUUAUUUUGAGAACUUCUACUAUUCAUGUUUAAGAAAUCAAACUAUUCAAGACUUUCCUUUUCCCCCAAAUUAUACCUACUAAAAUAAAAGGUCAAAAUGUCAAGAUUAGACCUGAAAGAUACAUUGAAAUAGUGUAAAACUUAGGUUCAAUCAAAAAUUAGAUGUUCAUAAUCAUAUCGACCUAUAUUAACAAGUCUUCUUCAUUUAUGGACUUCAUUUGUCAGAUAACCUACCUAUUUGUUUGCUUCUCUCUGAAUAUGGAUGAUAUUCAUCUUGGUGGCAUCAAGUAAAUACUUGCAAUCUCUUAUGACGUCCUUUCUUUUAUGCGGAAAUAAUCUCUUCUGACCAAUUACAAUUUGGAUAGAAAAAAAUGACCGCAUUUAGAUAUUUUAUAUAUAGAAAAUAAAGAUCCAUCACAAAAGAAACAUAAAACUAAAAACAAAUUUUGGACUAUUUUCUUUGUCCUUUUUUAUUGCUUAAUAUUUUACUUCCUCUCUGUCUCACUCCAUUUAUCUAUCAUCAUAAUCCAAUUGUUGUUACUUGUUAUCCUUGAGACUUGAAGUGGGUCCAUCCUAUCAAUUUCCUAGCCAAUAAUAAUAUGCCACGUGUAUGAACAUGUGAUAAUUAAGGCAACAUCAAAAUUCCCUAAUUGAGUCAUAAAGUGUGAGAAUGCCAUAAGAAAUUAUUGUAUUAUGUUAUGUUCUUACCAACUAAGGAAUCAAAGAAUCUUUGUUGGGUUUUAGCGUUGUAGAGAAACAAGAAGAAGAAAAAAACACCUAUAAGGGUUAAACUGGUCUUUUAGAUUUUAUCAAUCAAAGAAAAAAAAGGUAUGUUGAAGAGCUACCUAAUCAAAUCUUUCUUUAGUUUUACUGUUUUCUCAUGUUGGGUUUUACCUAAAUACUCAUUUUUUCCAUCUGGGGUUUACUUUUUGUGAAUGAAUAUGAGUUAAAGAUGGGAUUUUUAGUACAUAGUGUUGAAAAAAGAUUGUGUUUUUAUCUUGGAGUGAGAAAAUGUGUAUUUAACUUUGUUGAGUACUAUUUCCUCUUUUCUAAUUUCUUUGUGUUACUUUAAUUUGUUCCAGUUUAAGAAAAUAAGCAAGACUUUUGAAUCUUGUGUUAUUAAUGUUGUAGAACGUAUGAAAAUGUCAUUUAAUUUCUCUUACUUGAAAAAAAAGCUGAGGUUUUUUCCCCUUUGAAAUUUCAGUUUGAGUCAUUGGUUGGUAACUGGACUCUUAAUUUAGAUUGUUGAUCUUAUUUUUGGAUGUUAUGCAUAAUUUCUUUUGGUACAUUGGAAAGAAAAAUAGACUACAUAAAAAAAAAAUUAAAGUUGUUCAUUAGCAAUAUGCUUAAGUUCGCUAGGAGAAGAAACUUUAUGUUCUUAAUAGUAUUACAGGGCCUCUUCAUGAUUGUGAUUCUCCAUAAACAAGUAGUCUCUGGAUAUACAUAUUAAUGAGUAUAUAAAGUGACACUUGAACUUGUUUCGAAUUUUCAAAAAGAUAUCUUAAUUAUGCGAGCGUCCUAUUACCCAUUAAACAAUCUUGAACUGAUAUUAUUACAUUGUCCACUUCACAUAGAGAGCGUGUGAACUCUCUCAAAGAGGGUGAGCAAUCUAAAAUAACUAAUAUAAUUUUAUUUUUACAAGUAUUUUAUUAUAAAAUAUGUUGAACUGAUAUUAUUACAUUGUCCACUUCACAUAGAGAGCGUGUACACUCUCUCAAAGAGAGUGAGCAAUCUAAAAUAACUAAUAUAAUUUUAUUUUUACAAGUAUUUUAUUAUAAAAUAUGUUUUCUUAUUUUUCUUAUUAUUUUAACUUUUUUUCCUUUUUAUUUUUUCUCUUUCUUUCUUCUUUCUUCUUCAAAAAUUCAUUGUCAUUUUUAUUGAAGCUUCUCACUUUCAAUGUCACCAUUUUUACCACAACUUCACCUUUCUUUUGUUUUUUACUACUAUUAGUUUUACUCUCUUUAAUUUUAAAACUUUAUCUAAAUAUUUUCUUACAUUUCGAACAAUUUGAUAAACCCAUUAAAUUUCAAGAUGAUUAGGAAAUAUCAUAUAAUUUUUUUUAUCCGAUUCCAAUUAAGUUCUUUCAAUUUUCGGAAAAUUCAUUGAUUCUUUUAAAAUUAUAAUUUAUAAUUUGAAGUUAUAUGAAAAGGAGUAAUUGAUGAUACCUUCAAAAUUUUAAAUUUUCUUAGAAAAAUAAUUAGUUUUGUUAUCAAUAAUUCAAUAAAGUCUAGAAAAUAGUAUGAUUUUAAAAAUCACUGAAAUAAAGAAUUUGACUGAAGAAGAAGAAAAAAAAAUAAAAAAUGAAAGAGGGUUCAACUUGACGUGGGGGGUGGGGUGACGGUGAGAGAUGAAGAAAAAGAAAGAAAAUGAAAUUUAAGAUGAAAUCAAAAUUAAAAUAAGUCAAAAGUAAGAAAGAGAGAAAAGGUAAAGAAAAAACUUAAAAUGAAAAAAAUAUAUUUUUAAUUAAAUUAACACGUGUCAUGUAAUGAUUGGUGUGUGAACACACUUGCUUCUUAAAAUCUGAGGCUGAUCGAAAAAUAAUAUAAUAAUAUCUGUUCAAAAUUGUUUAGUAGGGUAAUAAGACGGUUGCAAAGUUAAGAUAUCGUUUUGAAAAUUCGGGACAAGUUAAAUAGUGAAUUUAUGUCUUUUCUCUUUUAAAAAAUUACAUAAAUGCAAUAUAACAAUGCUUUUGACUUAACUAGAUACUUCAUUUGUCUCACAUAAAAGAAACAAGGAACUUUUGUGACACCUUGGAUAUCCACACAUAAUGGAUCCAAGAAUGUACAAUGCUGCAAAGAAAGGGAGUACUAUGGAAGAUGGUGAUUUUUCACUUGUUGAUUAUCUGAAAAGGGAGGAAGAAAAUGGUUACCAAGUCACUCCAAAGGGAAUACAAUCCUCCAUGUGGCAGCUCUCUUUGGCCAACGAGGUUUCGUGGGAAAAGUCCUUAAGAUUACCCCGGUAUUAUUAUGCUAUAAGAAUAAGAAAAAUGAAACUGCGCUUCACAUUGCAGCUAAUUUAGGACAAAGUGAAGUGGUGAGUGAACUACUUAGCUUAGGAGGAGAGGAGACAAUACUCGUUAGGAUGACGGAUGACAUUGGAGAUACGGCCUUGCACAAGGCUGUGAGAGGUGGACACAUUGACAUUGUCAGGAUGUUGGUGAAAUUAUUACUAGAUCCUGAACACGACCUCCCGGCCAAUAAGGCUGGGGAGACACCACUUUAUUUGGCAGCAGAGUCUGGUUUUCAUGAUGCUUUGAUUGAAAUCUUGAACGUUUGCAAAGAACCAACUUAUGUUGCAGGUCCAUCCAAUCGAACACCUCUACAUGCAGCCGUAAUUCAAGAACACACGGGUAAGUACCUUCUGGAUGAUUUCAUCAUAUAUAAUAU